rnacentral:rRNA from 1 species
GAUGAACGCUGGCGGCGUGCCUAAUACAUGCAAGUCGAGCGAACGGACGAGAAGCUUGCUUCUCUGAUGUUAUCGGCGGACGGGUGAGUAACACGUGGAUAACCUACCUAUAAGACUGGGAUAACUUCGGGAAACCGGAGCUAAUACCGGAUAAUAUUUUGAACCGCAUGGUUCAAAAGUGAAAGACGGUCUUGCUGUCACUUAUAGAUGGAUCCGCGCUGCAUUAGCUAGUUGGUAAGGUAACGGCUUACCAAGGCAACGAUGCAUAGCCGACCUGAGAGGGUGAUCGGCCACACUGGAACUGAGACACGGUCCAGACUCCUACGGGAGGCAGCAGUAGGGAAUCUUCCGCAAUGGGCGAAAGCCUGACGGAGCAACGCCGCGUGAGUGAUGAAGGUCUUCGGAUCGUAAAACUCUGUUAUUAGGGAAGAACAUAUGUGUAAGUAACUGUGCACAUCUUGACGGUACCUAAUCAGAAAGCCGCGGCUAACUACGUG